rnacentral:lncRNA from 1 species
GUCGACUCCAACUAGUUGGAGUCAACUCCAACUGGAUAAUCAACUUGAACUGUAACAUAUACAUAUUUUGGAUACAUAUUAUAUUAUACAGUAAGGGUUUUUCCCCUUACUGUACACAACUCAUGCUAGAAAUAUUUGUCUAUGUAUGAAAUUUAAUAAAAAAAAUGUUUCAUCCGGCAAGCAUAUGGGUACAGAUCGACCUAGAUUCGGAUCUUAGACUAUUGAAGAAACAUUUGAGAAUGCAUAUUGGUGAAAAACCACAAGUAGUGUGAAAGUUGUGUAAAACAGUGUAUUACUAAGAGCUCACAAGUUCACACUAGGGAAAAAUCUUAAAGUGAAAAUUUGUUUUAAAACGAUAUUCUCUAAAAAGUAGUUUACAGAGACAUUUGAUCGUACACACUGGGAAAAAAUCAGUGUAAAAAUUGUUUUAAUCAGUUCACCUAAGCAGAUCAUUUUAAAAAACAUGUUAUGGAAGACUAGCACACUUAAGAAAUUUAAAUUCAUUUAUGAUUUUAUAUUAGUAGUAUAUUAUUAUUAUAUUAACAUUAUAGAACUGUAUUGUCCUAUAUAAUUAAAUACAAGAUUGUUUAUUUACUCA